AUCGAACGCUGGCGGCAUGCCUAACACAUGCAAGUCGAGCGGAGCGUCGGACGGGUGAGUGAUGCCUAGGGAUCAGCCUGGUAGUGGGGGAUAACGUCCGGAAACGGGCGCUAAUAACGCAUACUAUCAGACUAGCCUUAGUCGGAUUAGCGAGUUGGUGGGGUAAAGGCCUACCAGGGCGACGAUCCGUAACUGGUCUGAGAGGAGGAUCAGUCACACUGGAACUGAGACACGGUCCAGACUCCUACGGGAGGCAGCAGUGGGGAAUAUUGGACAAUGGGCGCAAGCCUGAUGCAGCCAUGCCGCGUGUGUGAAGAAGGCCUUCGGGUUGUAAAGCACUUUCAGCGGGGAGGCGUUACCCGCAGAAGAAGCACCGGCUAACUCCGUGCCAGCAGCCGCGGUAAUUC
rnacentral:rRNA from 1 species